UUUAAUAAUGCAGAGUGAAUCCCUUUAACACAAACAAAUACAUCUAUAACUUCAAGAAUAAAGUGUUUGUGUCAAUGAUUUAUAUUAAGGAAAUCUUGAUAUCACAGUGGCACAUCUGAAUAUAAGAAAAAGAACUGAGUGGCUGGAGCGGUAGAAUGGGAUUGGACUGAAAGGUGAAAAUGCACAAAUGAUUACUAUAUUUACAUUUAAGCCAAAAGUUGCCUCCUGUUAGUAAAAUUUCUACAGAAAAUUAAGAAAAUAAAUACUAUAUGCAAAAGUUUCAUGCUAUGCAUUUGUUGCGUAGACAUAGAUUGAUCUUGAAAUUAUUAAAUCAAUCUUUUUAUAUUUAUUGCAAUAAUUAAAGAGGCGACAAGAAUACUAUUCUCAUGUUUUUGUUACAUAAGCUUUGCAUUGGAAGCCUCUUUAAAACAGGCAGAAAGAAAAGACUAUAGUGUUCUUCAUAUAAGUGAAUCUUUUAUUGUGUACCAGCACCAUUCUUUCAAGGUGUGCUGGUCUGAAUUAUUGCCUACAAUGAAUCACAUAUGAUAGAGAUAAAUGGGAAAGAAUGUGACUGUGUAUAUUAUUCAGGAAAAAAGCCCCACUGAGUUCAGCUAGGGAAACCAAGAGAGAUCCUGGGAUGAAAAUUCAUCUAAAUGGUAAUAAAUGGUAAUAACCUUCUUCAAAAAAGGGGAGGGGAGAACUACUAUUGUCCUGACAAAACAUUAAACUACCCUUAGAUGUUUAACUGUGUGCCAGUGAAACAGUAUUUAUGUAACUUUGAUCUUUACUGUUCAACAAGAAGGAGAAAGUGCCCAUGAUCCCCUGAAAUGAAAGAGGAAAAACUCCCUCUCCCCUUAGCCACACUUAUGCACGAAUUUUCUACCUCUCCUUUUGUGUUCGGGGCCCUCUUUUACCCACUUAACAUGUCCUGGAAACCACACCAUGUUGACUCACAAAACAGAUUUGAAAUCAAGCCACAAGAGUAGUCCAUGCUUACUUUCUGGCUGUGCUUGGCUUGCCCUGGUCAGACCUGAUGAAGAAUGUCUUACAUUGGAAAACUUGUCUAACUAUCCCAUCUAUGCAGCUGGUCCAGUAAAAGAUUUCACCCUAAGAAAUCCUUGCCUCUCACACAAUUCCUGGUCCAUCAUAGCUACAACAUGACUAUUAUACUACUUUCUAGCUGUGCAUUUGUGAUUUGUCAGCUUACCAGAGUUCAGGGAAGAACCGUCUGUCUGACAAAACAGCCAGGCACCUGUGGCCACAGCAAUGCACAGGAGGCAGCAGUGACUUCCAGCUGUUGCUGUGCCUCCAGCAUCUCUUCUAGGAAACUGCAUCCUGACUUCAAGGUAGAAUGUGUAUGUGGUCAGCCCUAAACUACCUACUCUUUAGGUGAACCCAGACCCACAGAUUUUAGGAGCCACGGAGAGAGAUGCUCUUGUGGGAAGUGGUGGUCAGGGAAGGGGUAGGAGGCACACAGUAAAGUGCAAGAAUCUACAAUGCUUUGGACUGACAAGUCAGGAUUUCACUCCACAGGUUGGGCAGCCUGGGGCCAUCCCUGGGGAAGUUGGCAGACGGGAGCAUGGACUCCUUAUACCAGGUCUCUGAGGAAGGAGCCAAGGCAGGACAGAAACCUCAUGGAGAUCUCCCAAGUUCCUUCCAUCCCGAUGGAGGCAAAGGGGGAAGUUUUCCAAAAGAAGAGAAAAUCUUGUGUUUGCAAAGUUGGAGCUCACACCCUGGAAGUCGUGCGUCCUGAUUUUUUUCUUUUUCUUCAGUUGUUAAAAUUGCUUCUGGAAGGUUUGUUGCUCCCUGCCUGGCAUUUAUCUGGUGGUUGGGACCAGCGUGUUCACGGACAGGCGUGCAAGGACAUCUUACAGAACAGCAAACGUACUCCGCUUGACUCUGGGUGUGAGGUUCAGGCCAUCAUGCUUAACCUCACCUAAGUCUCAUGGGGUGGUCACUGUGGCGGCCAGCCCACCCGGGGCUAACCAGGACCCCCACUUACGUAUUACACUUCUUUUUACUGGCGACUGAGAUGGAAGGGUAAGAUGCAGCUGCUCAAGAGCUCCUUCCUCUGAAGUAUCGUCCGGCCAAGGCAAAAUAUUCUAGGCCCCCCUCAGGAACCGGAGCUAGGAGGAAAGGCUGGUGGCACGUUUCAGCAAUUCCUUGGCACCCGCCUCCCCAGGGGAGAAAGGCCUCCGCGCCCACAGCACCGCACCUCAGAGCACAGGGGGUCGCUUGCAAAGGACCCACGAGCGGCUCCCGGGCAGGACAGGGCAGAGGAGCUGCAGGGUCCGGGCCCCGGACGCGGGUGUGGGGCCGCCGCCUGGCGCGGGGCGCGCGGACGCGGAGGUGACAGGACGGGACGGGACGCGACGCGGCGCGGGCUAGUGCCCGGGGGAGGGCGGUGCUAGCUAGACCCUUCCCGCGCCGCAGCGAGAAGACGCCGGCGUCCCGCGGCGUGGAAGAUACAUGAUUAGGAAGCCACUGAGAAAUGUGUUCAUCACCCUUGUAUACAUUGACAAGAAGUAGUUUCUCCUAACAGGACAGAUUGGCAGUCUCCAACCUUUUUAAGCACAAGAUCACUUUUUGAAUUAAAGUGCAACCCCAGGAUCUAACCUCCAGACCAGGCUGAUACCACCAUAGGUAGAGGGAGAAAAAAUUAUUUGGGG